rnacentral:rRNA from 1 species
CCUACGGGAGGCAGCAGUGAGGAAUCUUGGUCAAUGGGCGGAAGCCUGAACCAGCCAAGUAGCGUGCGGGAUGAAGGCCCUACGGGUCGUAAACCGCUUUUGCACGGGGAUAACACCCUCCACUUGUGGAGGUCUGCAGGUACCGUGCGAAUAAGGGCCGGCUAAUUCCGUGCCAGCAGCCGCGGUAAUACGGAAGGCCCGAGCGUUAUCCGGAUUCAUUGGGCUUAAAGGGAGCGUAGGCGGGCGUUCAAGUCAGCUGUAAAAUCGCGCGGCUCAACCGCGCCCCGCAGUUGAAACUGGACGCAUUGAGUUCACAACAGGCAGGCGGAAUUCGUGGUGUAGCGGUGAAAUGCAUAGAUAUCACGAGGAACCCCGAUUGCGAAGGCAGCCUGCCGGGGUGCGACUGACGCUGAGGCUCGAAGGUGCGGGUAUCAAACAGGAUUAGAUACCCCAGUAGUC